GAUGAACGCUGGCGGCGUGCCUAAUACAUGCAAGUCGAGCGAACAGAUGAGGAGCUUGCUCCUCUGACGUUAGCGGCGGACGGGUGAGUAACACGUGGAUACCCUACCUAUAAGACUGGGAUAACUUCGGGAAACCGGAGCUAAUACCGGAUAAUAUAUUGAACCGCAUGGUUCAAUAGUGAAAGACGGUUUUGCUGUCACUUAUAGAUGGAUCCGCGCCGCAUUAGCUAGUUGGUAAGGUAACGGCUUACCAAGGCAACGAUGCGUAGCCGACCUGAGAGGGUGAUCGGCCACACUGGAACUGAGACACGGUCCAGACUCCUACGGGAGGCAGCAGUAGGGAAUCUUCCGCAAUGGGCGAAAGCCUGACGGAGCAACGCCGCGUGAGUGAUGAAGGUCUUCGGAUCGUAAAACUCUGUUGUUAGGGAAGAACAAAUGUGGAAGUAACUAUGCACGUCUUGACGGUACCUAAUCAGAAAGCCACGGCUAACUACGUG
rnacentral:rRNA from 1 species